CUAUGAUUCAUAUCCCCAGAUAUUCUCUGGCAUUCUCACUAUAUAGUUUCCUUUUUUUUUUUUUUUUUUUUGUACUGUAUUGCUUUUUUUUUUUUUUUUCCCCCAGAAAGAGAAAAUCUUACUGGAGAAAACCAUGCCAAGCCUGAGAACAUUGAGUACCCAAGGCCAAGCUCAACAAGGGCAGAGAACUUUCCGGCAAGAAAUUAUCCCAUCUGUAACAAGGCCAGUCUCAUGGUCUACAGCUCACAAUUGGCAAGAAGAUAGAUUAAAUGGACAUUCAAGGACCUGCACAUUUGGUCCCAGCAUCCUCCCAGUUCACCCCGUAGGCCACCCACAUGGACUCAUUGUCCUCAUUUUUGUGUUACAACUUUCGCACAUGCUACUUCCUUUGCCUGGAAAGACUUCUUUCUGAUUCUACUUGCCUGGAAAAGCCCAACCAUCCUUUAAGAAUCAGCUCAAAGGUCACCUCCUCUAUGAAGGCUCUCCUGUAUACUCAGUCAUUCACCCACACAUGCUUAUUGAGUACUGUUGUGCUCUUCAGCCAAGACUACCAUGAACCUGCCAGCAAUGAAACAAGGAGGCUCAGAAACUUCGUAUCUACCAGUGUGGCUGGUAUAGACUUUGGCUGCCAUUCACAGGAUUAUCAAGAAGAUCGAGAUCCCAAAAAGCUAAGGAGCUACUGUCCUGGAAGGGAAGAAAACCCACUCCUGGCUUCAAAAGACAGCCAUUGGCUCUAUAACCCUGGCCAGAGUCCAGACAGGAUUGGGGAGAGGAGGUGGGAAACCUAUCCCCUGAUGGCACAGCAGAGACAGAGCGAGAAAGAGCAGAGGAGGAGGAAGAGGGAAGGGGAAAGAAUCUUAAGCAGUCUUCAUGCUCUUCAUGGAGCCUGAUGCAGAGCUUGUUGCAGGACUGGACCUCAUGACCCUGAGAUCACAACGUGAGCCGAAACCAAGAGGCAGCCACUCAACCAACUGAGAUCCCCAGGUGUCCCUGCCAUUUCAUUUUUAAAAACACAGUCUAUGCAUUGCAUUUUUGCUCAUUCAGAUCCGCAAUUCUGUUAUUAGUCUGAACCACAGUGGUCCCUCUUGUCUUUAGAACACCACUCCAGGGUUCAGUGGAGAGAGCAGAGGGAGCACUAUUGAGCACUAUCUUUGGAGUCAGGCCAGCAUCUGGCCAUGUUAUUGUGGAGGCCAAGAAAAAUCAAGGCCAUCCCACCUAAAGUUUAGCAUUAGCACAAGUGCAGCCAUCUUAGGCCCCUGUGAAUGAGAGCUGAACUUUAUGGGAAAAACUGCAGAAUGUCCUCAAUGUCCUCGGCAGGUAAUCCCAUAUCAGAAAGACAACAGAGCCCACACCCGUGGUAGAAAAAGUCCCAUAUUAGAAUGAGAACAGAGCUCAAUGGCCUCAAAAGCCCCAUAUCAAAAUGUAAACAGAACUUGAGAAAUUCCUCUACCCCUUCUGAAAAUCCCCUAGACCAGCCUAUAAAAAAAACAGCUGUAACCCACUUCGGGGUCCAAGUCCCUGCUCCGCUGUGUCGGGCACACUUGGACGGACCCAAGCUCGAGCUUGCUAAUAAACCCUCGUGCGCUUGCAUUGGUGUCGGCUCCUUGGUGGUUUCUCGGAUUCGCAAUCUUGGGCACAACAGUUAUCUUCUGUUCCUUAGGAUGAGACUCAGAUGCUGUCUGUAGAGUCUAUAGCCAGUACAAACUCUCAGGAAGUCCUUUCAGCUUUGUAUGUUCAGAGGCAGAAGGUAUGGUAUAGUUUCCCCCCGGCAAGAAAAUUGUACUCAUCAACUGACAUUAGGCAUGGUAAGUGAACAGAGACCCCUGAGUCUCAUAAAGCCUUUGCUUCAAUGUGCUGCAUCAUCUAGGAUGCCCCUCUGCAUGUGCAAGAGUAAGCUCUUGUGAAGAGCUGAUCACUCUAGAGUCCUUGGGGGAAUGCAAAUAUAAAGCCCGCUAGAAUUACGACAAAGAAAAGGCACCCUCACUUUUCAUUCCUUUUUGUCCCCUUAUUUCCGUAAAUGCAAAUUCUACCAACAACUUUAGCAGCUUAGUGAUAGUUCAUGAAUUACAGGAACACUAAAAGCCAUUGGUUUGCUUCUUACUUAUAAAAGGCAACGAACAACGUGAGAGGUGUCAAACUUUUCCAGCUACAUCUGUCUUCUCUUUCUAAGUAAAUAAAAAUAGGUAAUGAUAAUAAUAACAACAGGUUAUUGUUUAUUUGGUUCUGGUGAUAUGGCAGGGACUGUUGCCCUAUGAUUUUGCUUGUGGCCUUCAGAACUGCUCCAUACCACAACCACAAGAAGUGGAUGUCCACUACCUUGGGAACUGUGACAAUGGCCGUCAACAUGACAUAGCUAUUUGGACUUAGAACUGAGACCCCCCUGUGUCAAUAUGACUUAGCUAUUUGCUCCAUUAUAACUUUGCCUGAGAAAGAUAAUAAUAUAAACCAAUAAAUAAGUUCUCUGUUUGUUUCAGGAAAUUCCUGCAGAUAACUUAUCUGAGAUAAGAGUCUGUUCACCCUGAACAAAUUUCUUGUUCUCAAAGCACGGUUACCCAUCGAGACUUGCUUUAAGGCCCUCACCUCCCUGUACUCACAGAUCCUAAACCAUAAUGUCAGGAUCUUAGCCCAAUUCUGGGCAAUUCCUUCCUUGAAAUAUUCACUUGAAGUCACUUGAACCAAGACCUCCAAACCCUAUCCUAUCCCAGAAUAUCCUAUUCUGAACUCCCUUUCCUGAAAUGCUAAGACUUUAUCAAGGUGAUAUCUCCUGCAUUCAAUUAUAUGAUAAUAUUUCAGGGAGUUCUUAUUUUGCAAAUGAACAAGAGAAGCCUAGAGAAUUUCAGUAAUUUAUUCUAGUUUAUCCACUUAGUUAAAGGGUUCCUAUCUGGAACUAUUUGACCCCAUCCCUUGUUCCUCGUCGCUCUGCUACUCUGCCUUUCAGUUGAAAUAAAAGUCCAUUUUUUUUUCAAUUUUAUCUCUGAACCUAUUUAACUUUCUAAGACUAAAAAAAAAUUCAAGCGGGACACCUGGGUGGCUCAGUGGCUGAAUGUCUGCCUUUGGCUAAAGGCGUGAUCCCGGAAUCCUCGGAUCGAGUCCCAUGUCAGGCUCUCUGCCUGUGUCUCUGCCUCUCUCUCUGUGUGUCACUCAUGAAUAAAUAAAUAAAAUCUUAAAAAAAAUUCAAGCAAUGGCCUAGUCUUUGUAGUUACUGUGUGACCUUAUGCAUUUAAUUGGCUACAGAAAAAUAACACUGUAUUUCAAAAUAAACCACAGCAAUGGUGACCCACCAACAUUCUCUAAAUGAAGGAUGUAAAUUAAACAAGAGCCAAGAGGCCAGAAUUAUAAUUGGUGUAACUUAUAAACUGUUAGCAAGUUAUUCAGCUGGUCUAUUCAUUUCCUACGGUUGUCAUAACAAAUUACCACAAAGUUGAUGGCUUAAGGCAACAAAAAUUUAUUCAUUCACAGUUCUGAAGGCCACAAGUCCAAAAUCAAGGUAUCGGCAGGGCCAGGCUCCCCAUGGAGAUUCUGAGGGAGAAUCUGCUCCAUGCCCGUCUUCUAGCUUGUGGUGCCUCCUGACAACCCUUGGCAUUCCUUGUCUGGGCCUUCAUAACCCCAAUCUCUGCCUUCUUGUUCAUGCAGCUUUCCUUCUGUGUCUCUGUGUCUUCUUUUCUGUUUCUAAUAAGGACAUUUGUCAUUAGAUGUAAGGCCCACCUGAAUUCAGAAUGAUCUUAUCUAGGGACCCUUAUCUUCAUAAUAUCUACAAAGACC
rnacentral:lncRNA from 1 species